rnacentral:rRNA from 1 species
GACGAACCGUGCGAACGUUAUUCGGAUUCACUGGGCUUAAAGGGCGCGUAGACGGGUGACCGCGUCGAUGGCUGAAAGCCCCCGGCUCAACCGGGGAACGGGCCUCGAUACGGGUCGCCUCGAGUGGAGGAGAGGGACCUGGAACUUCCGGUGGAGCGGUGAAAUGCGUUGAGAUCGGAAGGAACGCCCGUGGCGAAAGCGCUCUGCUGGACUGCAACUGACACUCAGGGACGAAAGCUAGGGGAGCGAAUGGG